rnacentral:rRNA from 1 species
CGAACCCUGAUCCAGCCAUGCCGCGUGAGUGAUGAAGGCCUUAGGGUUGUAAAGCUCUUUCGGCGGGGAAGAUAAUGACGGUACCCGCAUAAGAAGCCCCGGCUAACUUCGUGCCAGCAGCCGCGGUAAUACGAAGGGGGCUAGCGUUGCUCGGAAUCACUGGGCGUAAAGCGCACGUAGGCGGACUCUUAAGUCAGGGGUGAAAUCCUGAAGCUCAACUCCAGAACUGCCUUUGAUACUGGGAGUCUUGAGUUCGGGAGAGGUGAGUGGAACUGCGAGUGUAGAGGUGAAAUUCGUAGAUAUUCGCAAGAACACCAGUGGCGAAGGCGGCUCACUGGCCCGAUACUGACGCUGAGGUGCGAAAGCGUGGGGAGCAAACAGGAUUAGAUACCCCGGUAGUCCACGCUGUAAACGAUGGAUGCUAGCCGUUGGCGGGUUUACUCGUCAGUGGCGCAGCUAACGCAUUAAGCAUCCCGCCUGGGGAGUACGGUCGCAAGAUUA